AAAAGUUUUAAGAGCAGCAUCCUGCCACACAUCUUCUCUCACAAGGCAACAAAAACAAUGCCAAGAACGAGAAACAACAACUCUAAUUGCUACAAAAUGCUCAGAAAGUCACUGCCCUAAUGUGUGGGCAGUUUAAAUUGCCCAAAGAAACAUUCCAACAAGAAUUACAUAGAGACAAUAAUGACUUCUAUUUAAGAUGCUCCUGGGUUGAAAUUAUUUUCUAACUUUAAGUUACUGCAUUACUGUCAUGAGCAAACCCAGAGUGAUUACAAUUGAAUUCAUCACCCAAAGGCCAGUGACUUCAAGGUAAGAAUUCAGUUUUUGGAACAUUUUGACCAAAGACAGGAAGUAAACUAUUAAGCUAUUGUGUUAAUGUUUCCUUGUCAUUUUCCAUACUCAAAGAACACAGCCUAGAUAACAAUGUCAGAUGGGCCUGACUUUGCAAGCUCCUGCUGUUUACUCCCAUUUAAAUCCAUUCUAAUUUUUAUGCUAUGUAAAUCCAAGACCGCUUAGAAACUAAAGAGGCCUUUUUGCAUUUCUUAAAUAACAUCAGUAUUAAUAACCAAAGAAGGCAUGGAUUUAACUUCCCGGGCAUAAAACAGCAAAAGAAACCCACAAAGACUUAAUCGGCUGGACAACUGGUAAAACACAUAUAGUACUUUACAAAUCUCUGUUGAGUUUCCACCCAUUCAUUCUUUUAAGAAACAGGCUGGGUGCAGUGGCUCACACCUGUAAUCCCAGCACUUUGGGAGGUUGAGGCAGGCGGAUCACUUGAGGUCAGGAGUUUGAGACCAGCCUGGCCAACAUGGUGAAACCCCAUCUCUACUAAAAAUACAAAAACUAGCCGGGCAUGGUGGUACGCACCUGUAAUCCUAGCUACUGGGGAGUCUGAGGCAUGAGAAUCACUUGAACCCGGGAGGUAGAUGUUGCAGUGAGCCAAGAUCACGCCACCACACACCAGCCUAGGCAACAGAAAGAGACUCCAUCUCAAAAAAAAAAAAAAAAAAAAAAAGAAGAAAGAAAUAAAAAAAGAAACAUUUAUCAGGACUGGAGCAGUGGCUCAUGCCUAUAAUCCCAACACUUCCAAGGCAGGAAGAUUGCCUGAGGCCAGGAGUUUGAGACUGUCUCUACAAAAAAAAAAUCAAAAAAUUAACUAGGCAUGGCAGCAUGUGCCUGUGGUCCCAGUACUUGGGAGGCUGAGGCAGGAGGAUCAUUUGGGCCCAGGAGUUGGAGGCUCCAGUGAGCUAUGAUGGUGCCACUGUGUUCUAGCUUUGGUGACAGAGCAAGACCCAGUCUCCAAGAAAAAAAUGGAAGCAUUUAUCAAAUACCUUAAAGUGUACUAUGCUAGACAUUGUGCAGAAUUCAGACAUAAGGAAGGAAUCCAGCUCAGGAGAGAGCAGCUAAGACAAAACAGAAGAAAAACAGUGUUUUUUAAUAGAUAUAAAACUUAGGAAGGGAAAAAGGGGCAGCUAAUUGUAAUCAGAAAAGACUUUGCAGUAGUGGUAAUCACAAAACUGGGUCCAGGAGGUGCACAGAAUUUCUACAAGUCAAAGAAUGGAAAGAAAGAACAUUCCUUCCAAAAUCUGGGGAGACAGUAACCGAAGACUCAGAAGGGAGAAGAUGGUGGGCACGUGUGCAGAAAUGGCAACGUAAGCAGGGAAGCAUGGCCCUCCUGGGGAAUAAGGUGAAAAAUGAGCCAGGAAAUGUACAUCGAGGCCAGACAGUGAUGGGUUAGGAAUGUCAAAGUAAGCGCUGGGCACAGGAGAGAAAGGCAAGUUUUCUGGGACAGUGACUCCCAUAUCUGGCUGCAUACCAAAUGACGCCUGGGAUGUCUAACAAGCAGAUCUCAGAUGCCAUGAGGACCAGGAAACUGUCAUUUUUUUAAGCUCCUGGGGUGAUUCUCAUUAUCAGUCAGAUGUCAAGAAGGCACAAAGAACGCUUAGAAAAGUGACAGAAAGGAAGCAAGGAAGGAAAGAAGGAGGAUUAAUGGAAAAGCAGAACCAGAUGAUUACUUUAGGUGAAAAAGAAAAGGAAGCUAAGUAUGCCAUAUGAAAACACACAAGAAAGGCCAAAUGUUUGCAGAAAAUGACAUUCAAUGUGAACAUUCUGAGGCUAUUGAUGGCUUAGGAAAUUUGGUUCUAGAAAUUCAGGAAAAUUAACUUUAUAUUUAAACGUAUACUAUUUGCAGACAUCUUUUUUUUUUUUUUUUUUUAGAUAGGGGUCUCACUGUCACCCACACUGGAGUGCAGUGGCGCAAUCUCGGCUCACUACAACCUCUGCCUCCCAGGCUCAAGUGAUUCUCCCACCUUAGCCUCCUGAGUAGCUAGGACCACAGGUAAUUUUUGUAUUUUGUUUUUUGGUAGAGACGGGGUUUUGCCAUGUUGCCCAGGCUGGUCUUGAACUCCUGACCUCAAGCGAUCUGCCCACCUUGGCCUCUCAAAGUGCUGGGAUUACAGGUGUGAGCUACCACACCUGGCCUGCAGACGCCUCUUUUAAGGUGGUUACGUACAGUCGGUCCUUCAUAUCUGUGGGCUCCAUUUCCACACAUUCAACCAACCAUGGAUGAAAAAUAUUUGGAAAAAAUAAAACAAUUAAAAAUCACACAAAUAUUUAAAAUGCAGUAUAACAACCACUUACAUGGCAUUUACAUUGUACUACAUAUUAUAAGUAAUGUAGAGAUGAUUUAAAGUAUACAGGAAGAUAAGUGUAGAUUAUGUGCAAAUACUAUGCCAUUUUAUUUUUAUUAUUUAUUUAUUUUUUUUGAGACAGAGUCUCACUCUGUCACCCAGGCUGCAGUGCAGUGGCAUGAUCUUGGCUCACUGCGGCCUCCACCUCCCAGGUUCAAGUGAUUCUCCUGCCUCAGCCUCCCAAACAGCUGGGAUAACAGGUGCAUGCCAUCACAACUGGCUAAUUUUUUGGUAUUUCUAGUAGAGAUGGGGUCUGACCAUGUUGGCCAGGCUGGUCUUGAACUCCUGACCUCAAGUGAUCCGCCUGCCUCACCCUCCCAAAGUCCUGGGUUUGCAGGCAGGCGUGAACCACCAUGCUUGGCCUAUGCCAUUUUAUAUAAACUUGAGCAUCUGUGGAUUUUGGUACCCAUGGGGAGUCCUACAACCAAUCUUCCAUAGAUUCCGGGUUGGGUAUCUAUGGGGAAUUGGUUCUAGGACCAAUUGUUAUUAAUUAACUUUGGGAGUAUAUAUACCCCUCUCCUUAAAUGAAUGAAAGGCAAAUGAUACAUACAAAGCAUUGUGCUACAAACUUAAGAAGAACUCAAUAAUUAUUUAACAAAUAGUAAAUGUUCAAAAUUCCUUGAAGAAGUCUCUAAAAAGUUGAACGCUAUAUUUCAUCUUUUUUUAUUUUAAAGAGAAAAGAGGAAAAAGUACCUCUGUUCUUUUCUUCCAUCUUUCUUUCUUCUUAACUUCAGUACACACCUGAGGGUUGUUUAUUUAUUUUUAAGAUGUCAUAAUUCUUACCUUGACUGCCAAGGCUUUUAAACUGUCAAGGAAUUGCUGCCAGAAAUCCUUGAAGAGUGGGCGGUCGAUUUUCUUCAGGCUGUCUUUGGUACUGGCAUCCACACUGACAUACAGCUGAGUAACUGGCUCGAGGUUCCUUAGUAAUUUUUUUUUUUAAAGGAAGAAAGAAAAAUUAUUCCUCUAUCAGGCUUUCCAUGAUAUAAAACCUGUAAUAGACAUGGGUAUUAAACACUUCACAGGGUCUAGAGACUUCCACUUCCCCCAAAAGACUGAACUAAUGAUUUUAAUCAUGUGACAAAAUGGGACGGCCUCUGGUUGUUUUUUAAAUGACUGGAAACCAUCCCUAAUACAUUGAAAAUAUUGAAUUACUUAAAAUUGGCCCUUCUUCAAAUACUAAGUUUGAAUGGAAAAUAAACAAAAUGUGAUCUAACUUCAGGUAUGACAGCAUCAGCCCAGCACAAUUAGAGGGGCUCUCUGAUCUAACUUUCCCACCCACACACUCUGCCGACCACAUGGGGUCUGUGCUGCUGGGCCACCUCCCUCCAUCAAUCACUGACGGAAGUCUUCUAAGGAACAAGAAACAAUCCCAAAAGCUCAGGCCUUAUUCAAAGGACGCUGAGUCACACCUAUGCUUCCAUAAGCAGGACUGGGUUUCAUGUCAAGCCUUGGGUGGGCAAACAAUGAUCCAUCUGGGGAACUUUAUGUAGUGCAGACCUAAAACAGUAGAAACCUCAUACUUACACAGGAGCACAGCCCAGAAGAAAAAAAUGAAUUCUUAUUUUCCUUGCCUUUACAAUCAGUUUCCAUGAAUACCACUCAUUCUCCGCUUCUCUCAAAUUCACUGCCUCAUUUCAUAAUUUCAUUCCUACCUACUAGAUUUCUAGUAGGUCCUUCUCCUACUAGGUCUUUUCCCCCGGCCCAGUCCCCAGACAGGAUCUCAUUCUCAUCCAGGCUGGAGUGCAGUGGCACAAUCACAGCUCACCGCAGUCUCAACCUCCCAGGUUCAAGUGACCCUCUUAUCUCAGUGUCUCAAGUAGCUGGGACCACAUGCAUGUGCCACCACGCCCGGCUAAUUUUUAAAAUUUUUUUGUAGAGACAGGGGUCCCACUACGUUACCUAGGCUGGUCUGGAACUCCUGGGCUCAAGCGAUCCACCCACCUCAGCCUCCCAAACUGUUAGAAUUAGAGGCGUGAGCCACUGCACCCGACCCUACUAGAUUUCUUGCAAGUUAUACAUUAAACCUAGACUAUACUUUUUCUUUUCUUUUUUUUUUUUUUUUUGAGAUGGAGUCUCCCUCUGCCAUCCAGGCUAGAGUACAGUGGUGCAAUCUCAGCUCACUGCAACCUCUGCCUCCAGGCUCAAGUGACUCUCCUGCCUCAGUCUCCUAAGUAGCUGGGAUUACAGGUGUACCCUGCCACAUCCGGCUAAUUUUUGUAUUUUUAGUAGAGAAGGGGUUUCACUAUGUUGAUCAGGCUGGUCUUGAACUCCUGACCUCAGGUGAUCCACGCACCUUGGCCUCCCAAAGUGCUGGGAUUACAGGCGUGAGCCACUGUGCCUGGCCUAGACUGUACUUUUUCUAAAGCCUCUCCCCUUCUCUCUUCAAAUAGGUCUCAUAAUUCAAUCUCUUCAGUAAAUUUAGAACUAGAAAAAACAAAUUCCCCCUUAAUCAUCUUCUGAUCAAAUUCUCCCAAUAUUCUUUUUCUAUAAGGAUUCCACAAUUUAUUCCACAUUUCCACCUAGAAGUUUUAUGCAUUUUUUGUUUCAAAGUCCAUGCAUUUUUAAAAAAUGAAAAUAUCAUUCACAUUCCAUACAAUUCACCACUUUAAAAUGGUUUAUGUGCUUUAUAUACGUAUCAGUAGCAGCCUUAUCAAUCUUUGAGUGUAAGAUCUUGAAGAGCAAGAAUCCUGUUUUUCUUUUUAUCCAGCCACACAGGCAGAUAUUAAAGCUACUUUUUAGGAGAUAUUGUUGAUUUCAGCAGACAGAAUUUUUAAGGGAAUAUAGGCCAAACAGAUGCUUGCAAUGAUGUGGCUUAGUGAUAUAUAGAAAAAUCACAAGUGUCUAGACUUCUGUUCACUUCUGUUAAAAGUGGAGAGGCUCUGACCAAAUGUAGGACAGAGGUGAUUAAGAUCCUGGCAGGCUCUCAUUGCUUUAAUGCCUCUGCAAUACCGAUGUACUAAGGGGAUCCUUUGAAGUUCAGGUAAUGUGUCACUACUGAGCAAAGCACGUUAAUUACUGAAAAUGUAAAACAAAAGCAUCAGUAAUAACAGCAUUCUGUCUCAUCACCCCUUUGCUGAGUGCCUCUUUAAUAAAAGACAAGCUAUGCUUCCUUAACUGGAUUUCUACUUAAAAAAAAAAAAAAAAAAAAAAAAAAAAAAGGACUGUCUUAAUGGUUACUGCUGGCUAUCAUCAUCUGAUAACUAACAGGACUUUGUCAAAAGCUUCCUGAUGCAAAAUGAGAACUGCCCUGACCUUUUCACUAUGCUUCCAUAACUACUUAAGAUUAUGAACAGUACAUUCCAAAGGCCAUACUCCUUUUACAAACCUCUAUCAUUUACAAAAUAGGAAGGCCUGGACACUGAUACUACUACUAAGGAAUUCUAGCCUAUACUAGAUGUCUGAGAUGCUACACCCAAGGAAGUCCAAUAAGGAAUUCUAGUCAAUACCAGAUGUCUGAGAUGCUGCACUCAAGGAAGUCUACAGAUCUCUCGUCAAGGAGCAGAGGAAGAAUGGAGAAGAGGAAAAGGUCCCCAGGAAUUACAGAGCUCAUUUCUAAGGGGCUCAAAAUUAGCAAAGAGACUUUUGGAGAUGUUUUCUGAGCUUUAGGGAUCUUAUUUCUGCCUCACACUGGUCUCUAUUCACCCAGAAGAGAUAAUGAGGCUCCCAGUAGAGUCACUUAUCUGUCUCUAUUCUAUACAGGAUAACAAAUGUUCCCAAAAAGCAAAAAAGUCUUACAUCAUCAAAAUCACCAUAAUAAUUCCUGUAUCUGAGAAUCUCACAGCACUGCUGGGAGUAAUUAAAAAGGAUAUCCUCUGCUCUCCCAAAAAAAGACAAUAUUUAAGAUAGACAACCUUAAGCCCAAUCCUCUGUACAAAUGCCCCAGGAUUCUUGAUGUGAGUACUGUAAGGACCCUUCAUCUUAAUUUUAAAUCUCUGAGUGAAGAAUUAUCAUAUAUAAAAAUGUGCUGAUGAACAUAAAAAUCCCUCUCCCAUGUUGCCUUUCUGUAGAGAUUAUCAGGCCUCUUUCUACCUUCCAAGGCUCAGAAGGUAGAAUGAGGCCUGACAUAUCUGCAGGAAAAAAAAGGAGAGAGAUUUAUGUUUGUAAGAAAUUCAAGUAAACAGUGACUUUGAAGCUCCUCCUUGGGAUAAAAAAAAAUAAGCAGAGUGACCCAAACAAGCAAUGAUAUUAAAACCUAAAUCUCUAAGACAAUCUGGGGCUGUCAGAACAAGCCAAAUAGCUCAGGAGGAAGAGAGGAGGAGGGUGAAAGAGAAGGAGAGAAUUAUUUACCACUCACCGAGCUGGCACACUCUGCCGUGUGCUUUACCCUUCUUGAUCAGUUCACUGAAUCCUCACAAUAAAAUGACCAUGUAGUUGCUACUUAUGCCCAUUUUAGAGACGAUGAAGCUGAGGUUCAAAAGGUUAAGUAACAUGUGCAAGGAUCUAUAAAGAAUAAGCAUCAGGCCGGGCACAGUGGCUCAUGCCUGUAAUCCCAACACUUUGGGAGGCUGAGGCAGGAGGAUCACCUGAGGUCAGGAGUUCGAGACCAGCCUGGCCAACAUGGUGAAACCCCAUCUCUACUAAAAAAUACAAAAAUUAGCCAGGCAUGGUGGCGCAUGCCUGUAAUCCCAGCUACUCAGGAGGCUGAGGCACAAAAAUCACUUAAACCCAGGAGGCGGAGGCUGCAGUGAGCCGAGAUCAC
rnacentral:lncRNA from 10 species